GUGAAUCAUCAAAUCUUUGAACGCAAAUUGCACUCUCUUCGGAGAGUAUGCCUGUUUGAGGGUUAGCUUAAAAAAAAUCGACGUAGUCGUUGUUUCGCGGUGACAUUCGUCGGAAAUUGGGUCAUCUUAAACUUUUGGGUUUUUUAAGCGGCUUAAAAUUUGCUUUACGUUUCCAGGAACGUUUCUAAGAUUUUACUUCUUACACACGUUUAAGGUAUCGAUCUUUAUUAGACGUGGCUGUUGCAUCGGAUCGAGUCCUAAAAUAUUUCGUUAAC
rnacentral:misc_RNA from 1 species